rnacentral:rRNA from 1 species
GAUGAACGCUCGCUACAGGCUUAACACAUGCAAGUCGCGGGGCAGCAUGGGGGUUGCUUGCCACCCCUGAUGGCGACCGGCGCACGGGUGAGUAACGCGUAUCCAACCUGCCCUUCACCACGGGAUAACCCGGCGAAAGUCGGACUAAUACCGUAUGUUGUCCAUUGACGGCAUCCGAUUUGGACGAAAGGCUUGGCGGUGAGAGGGUGGGGAUGCGUCCGAUUAGCUUGACGGCGGGGUAACGGCCCACCGUGGCUACGAUCGGUAGGGGUUCUGAGAGGAAGGUCCCCCACACUGGAACUGAGACACGGUCCAGACUCCUACGGGAGGCAGCAGUGAGGAAUAUUGGUCAAUGGGCGUAAGCCUGAACCAGCCAAGUAGCGUGCAGGAUGACGGCCCUAUGGGUUGUAAACUGCUUUUAUGCGGGGAUAAAGUGGCCCACGUGUGGGCUUUUGCAGGUACCGCAUGAAUAAGGACCGGCUAAUUCCGUG